rnacentral:tRNA from 1 species
GCCCCCAUCGUCUAGUGGCCCAGGACAUCUCUCUUUCAAGGAGACGACGGGGAUUCGAAUUCCCCUGGGGGUA